UAAAUUGAAGAUCGAAUUCAUUCAUUGUAUUCAUAUAGGGUCAAGGAGUGUAGAUGUAAAAAAAUCAUCAAAAUCGGAGUUAAAAUAACCGUUAAAUCGUGAUUUUUUGUUUAUAACCAUCGAAAAGUUUUGUCUCGUAACUUGAUCUCCGAAUGUUUGUUUUUUGCAAUUUUUGGCGUAUGCGAUCUCGAAGCAUAUACAAACAAGUUUGACGGUUGGAUUGUUGAAACUAAUUUCGCAAAAUGCGUAUCUCAUCAAAACAAUAGAUUCACUAACACUUAAGAGUUUAUUCAUAUUUUCAUUAAGUAUAACAUAAGAUUUUGUGGUAUCCACUAGUGUAAAUAUUUUAAAUCAAAGAUCGAAUUCAUUCAUUAUAUUCAUAUAGGGUCAAGGAGUGUAGCUGUAAAAAAUUAUCAAAAUCGGAGUUAAAAUAACCGUUAAAUCGUGAUUUUUCGUUUAUAACUGUCGAAAAGUUUUGUCUCGUUACUUGAUCUCUGAAUGUUGUUUUUUGCAAUUUUUGGUGUAUGCGAUCUCGAAGUAUAUACAAACAUGUUUAACGGUUGGAUCAUUGAAACUAGUUUCGUAGAAUGCGUAUCCCAUCAAAACAAUAGAUUCACUAACACUUAAGAGUUUAUUCAUAUUUUCAUUAAGUAUAACAUAAGAUUUUAUGGUAUCCACUAGUGUAAAUAUUUUAAAUUGAAGAUCGAAUUCAUUCAUUGUAUUCAUAUAGGGUCAAGGAGUGUAGCUGUAAAAAAUUAUCAAAAUCAGAGUUAAAAUAACCGUUAAAUUAUGAUUUUUUUGUUUAUAACCGUCGAAAAGUUUUGUCCCGUUACUUAAUCUUUAAAUGUUUGUUUUUUGCAAUUUUUGGCGUAUACGAUCUCGAAGCAUAUACAAACAAGUAUGACGGUUAGAUCGUUGAAACUAGUUUCGUAGAAUGUGUAUCCUAUCAAAACAAUAAAUUCACUAACACUUAAGAGUUUAUUCUUACUUUCAUCAAGUAUAAAAUAAGAUUUUGUGGUAUCCACUAGUGCAAAUAUUUUAAAUUGAAGAUCGCAUUCAUUCAUUGUAUUUAUAUAGGGUCAAGGAGUGUAGCUGUAAAAAAUUAUCAAAAUCGGAGUUAAAAUAACCGUUAAAUCAUGAUUAUUCGUUUAUAACCGUCGAAAAGUUUUGUCCCGUUACUUGAUCUCUGAAUGUUUAUUUUUUGCAAAUUUUGGCGUAUGCGAUCUCGAAGUAUAUACAAACAUGUUUGACGGUUGGAUCGUUGAAACUAGUUUCGUAGAAUGCGUAUCCCAUCAAAACAAUAGAUUCACUAACACUUAAAGAGUUUAUUCAUACUUUCAUCAAGUAUAACAUAAGAUUUUGUGGUAUCCACUAGUGUAAAUAUUUUAAAUUGAAGAUCAAAUUCAUUCAUUGUAUUCAUAUAGGGUCAAGGAGUGUAGAUGUAAAAAUCAUCAAAAUCGGAGUUAAAAUAACCGUUAAAUCGUGAUUUUUCGUUUAUAACCAUCAAAAAGUUUUGUCCCGUUACUUGAUCACUGAAUAUUUGUUUUUUGCAAUUUUUGGCGUAUUCAAUCUCGAAGCAUAUACAAACAAGUUUGACGGUUGGAUCGUUGAAACUAAUUUCGUAGAAUGCGUAUCCCAUCAAAACAAUAGAUUCACUAACACUUAAAGAGUUUAUUCAUACUUUCAUCAAGUAUAACAUAAGAUUUUGUGGUAUCCCCUAGUGUAAAUAUUUUAAAUUGAAGAUCGUAUUCAUUCAUUGUUUUCAUGUAGGGUCAAGGAGUGUAGCUGUAAAAAAUCAUCAAAAUCGGAGUUAAAAUAACCGUUAAAU
rnacentral:lncRNA from 1 species